AAUCAACGCUGGCGGCGUGCCUCAGACAUGCAAGUCGAACGCGAAACCUUCCUUCGGGAGGGGAGUAGAGUGGCGCACGGGUGAGUAACACGUAGGUAAUCUACCUUUGGGUGGGGAAUAACAGCCGGAAACGGCUGCUAAUACCGCAUAAUGCAGCGGCUCGACAUCGAGACAGUUGUUAAAGCGGGGGAUCGUAAGACCUCGCGCCUAAAGAGGAGCCUGCGGCAGAUUAGCUAGUUGGUAAGGUAACGGCUUACCAAGGCGACGAUCUGUAGCCGGCCUGAGAGGGCGGUCGGCCACACUGACACUGACAUACGGGUCAGACUCCUACGGGAGGCAGCAGUCGGGAAUUUUGGGCAAUGGGCGAAAG
rnacentral:rRNA from 1 species